GCUCGGAUGGAUAUAAUACAACCUGCUAAGUGUACUACCACUUACCAGGUUGUAUUAUUAUCGUCCGUGUU
rnacentral:pre_miRNA from 1 species